UCUGGAUCUGCCCACACCGCGCGUUCCCAACCGUGGGAGAAGAGGCCGGGCCCUAGGGGGAGGCGCGGGGCGGGGGGUGGGGGCAGAUUGACGCAUCUCCUUCGCUUAAUGAGGUGAACCCUUUCUAGAUCUGUACUCGCGGGGCAAAAGGGUAUCUCCUGUUGCUGCUGGCUGGUUAGGCUUACCGAUGUUGCAACAAACUUCCAGUCACUGCCCCUGAACUGGUGAGCGCGCCCCACCUACCGUAGACUCAGCCAAGUGACUUAUCUGAGCACCUAGUCAAUGGCUGUCAGCCCAGAACAAACCUGUCAAGUAAAAGCUUACUGCCGGGAUUGGCUGACCUGUCGCGGUUGAGAGAGCUGGUUCAGAAAUGCUGAUAACUAGCGUACAGCCCCUCCUCCCCCACCAACCAGCCACAAAGCAAGCGAUCACCUUGAGCUUGGAGGGAAAAAAAAAAAUGACAUCAACUCCAAUGUAGAGCAUCACUCCAUAGAGCACAAGGAGGCGUAUCCCAGCGCUGACCCCAGCCCACAAGCACCACCAAGUGAGGCAAGAAAGUCGAAAGCCAGCUAGCUGCUUCGCUCGGCUGCUCUGCAGGGCUGAAGGAACAGACACGCGGUGUUGGCAGAAAUAAUUGUAUUUUUACAGCACCACAGACUCUUUGCAUCCUACAUGGUGACAGACAGCUCUGUGAUAUAAAGAUGGAAGAUGAAAAAGAAAUUGCAAGGAUCCCCUCAUCCAUCAACUGCAUUGUACAAGCAAAGAAACUAGGACCAGUGGUAUAACGUGCCCCUAUUACACAAGAGUCAAUGACAGAUCCUUACGAGUGAGUGUGGGACGUUUCCAAAUACCAAUUUUUGUUUGGUUGGGGUUUUUUUGGUUGUUGUUUUGUUUUUGGUUUUGUUUUUC
rnacentral:lncRNA from 1 species